GGCACCAUAGCCAAAUUGGCAAGGCAGUGGUCUGCAACACCUCGAUUACGGGUUCAAGUCCCGUUGGUGCCUCCA
rnacentral:tRNA from 1 species